rnacentral:rRNA from 1 species
UACAGAGGGUGCAAGCGUUAAUCGGAAUUACUGGGCGUAAAGCGUGCGCAGGCGGUCUGUUAUGUCUGAUGUGAAAGCCCCGGGCUCAACCUGGGAAUGGCAUUGGAAACUGGCAGGCUCGAGUUUGGCAGAGGGGGGUGGAAUUCCGCGUGUAGCAGUGAAAUGCGUAGAGAUGCGGAGGAACACCGAUGGCGAAGGCAGCCCCCUGGGCUAAGACUGACGCUCAGGCACGAAAGCGUGGGGAGCAAACAGG